UACGGAGGGGGCUAGCGUUGUUCGGAAUUACUGGGCGUAAAGCGCACGUAGGCGGAUUGUUAAGUCGGGGGUGAAAUCCUGGAGCUCAACUCCAGAACUGCCUUCGAUACUGGCGAUCUCGAGUUCGGGAGAGGUGAGUGGAACUGCGAGUGUAGAGGUGAAAUUCGUAGAUAUUCGCAAGAACACCGGUGGCGAAGGCGGGUCUCUGGGCCGAUACUGACGCUGAGGAGCGAAAGCGUGGGGAGCGAACAGG
rnacentral:rRNA from 1 species